rnacentral:misc_RNA from 1 species
GAUGAAGAACGCAGCGAAAUGCGAUAAGUAAUGUGAAUUGCAGAAUUCAGUGAAUCAUCGAAUCUUUGAACGCACAUUGCGCCCGUCAGUAUUCUGGCGGGCAUGCCUGUUCGAGCGUCAUUACGCCCCUCAAGUCCCCUGUGGACUUGGUGUUGGGGAUCGGCGAGGCUGGUUUUCCAGCACAGCCGUCCCUUAAAUUAAUUGGCGGUCUCGCCGUGGCCCUCCUCUGCGCAGUAGUAAAACACUCGCAACAGGAGCCCGACGCGGUCCACUGCCGUAAAACCCCCCAACUUUUUAUAGUUGACCUCGAAUCAGGUAGGACUACCCGCUGAACUUAAGCAUAUCAAUAAGCGGAGGA